rnacentral:lncRNA from 1 species
GUAAGAGAUUAACAACAGUAACUAAUAACAAAAUACUGUCAUAAAAGUUAUAGUAGAUCUCAGCAACCUCAGCAUGUGAUUUUUUUUCUUUCCUUAUUAAGUCGAGAACUUUCACCUUUCACUUAAAGGAAGCACUUUAUGGCUUCUCUUUGGCAUAUCCGAAUUGCCAGCAUCACUACCCUUGCACUUUGGGGCCAUUAUUAAGUAAAAUAAUGGUUGCUUGAACACAAGCACUGCGAUACCAUGCCGGUGACGAUAUGAUAACCAAGACAGUUACUAAGUGACUAUCCAUACACAGCGUGGAUACUCUGAAUAGGGGGAUGGUUCACCUCCCAGGCGGGAUAGAGCCGAUGGCUUGAGAUUUCCUCACACUACACAGAAUAGCAUGCCAUUUAAAACUUAUGAAUUGUUUACUUCUGGAAUUUUCCAUUGAAUAUAUUCGGACUGCGGUUGACCGUGGGUACCUGACACCCGGAAAGUGAAACUGCGGAGAAGGGAGAAUUACUGUAAAUCACUAACAACUGAUGUUUGUAUUUCAAAGCACUUUCAUGUAUCAUCUCAUUUGGUCCCCAAGACUCCAUGAGACGGGUAUCAUCAUUAUCCCCAAAUUACAGAGGAGGAAACUGAGACUCAGAGAGUAGUUGGGAUAGAGACAGGUUAAAACAUCAUCUAUGAGAACGUGUAUCUGUGGACAUAUUCUCGAACAGAACCAUUUUCAAAUAUCUUGCCUUAUUGACAGAGUAUGCAUGCUGAUGUUUGUUUCAGAAAUUAUAAUUACCAUCCCUAUGGAAAAAUGCUUUCAUUCAAGAUAUAUUAAAGGUCAAAAGUAUCAUUAUGAAACAGUGAUCAUAAUUUCUGUUAUACUUUUAUCCUGGUUUUGGGUUGCAAAUAAAUAUAACUUGAUAAAUAGAGCCAAGUAAGCUUUUAAGAAAGUUUCAAAAAACUCAAUCCAAACACGUGGUGCACUGUGUGAGGGGCUCCCCUUUGUGGGAUGCCAUCUGUAGAUAGGUCCAGAAGUAGCGGGGGGUGAUACAGAAAUAUUAAAGAAAAAUACUGCUCAUUGCGUGCGGAAAAAUGCCUCUGGGAACAAAGAUGCUCAGCUCUCAAAUGCAGGGCUUGUAUCUGCGGAGAAGUGUUGGUUGAUCGCAUUCCGUCCUGGCAGAGCCACCGUCCAUCUGAAAGUUUGCGUGAAUAGAGCCAGGUACUUACCUCUCUCUAACCCACAAAGUUAAUCAAGGGAGGCUUAUUGGAGUUGGACAGGUGUGUCCAAGGAGGCAUAAAGUAUGAUAUAAAUGAGAGAAGAAGGGGCUCGGGAAACAAAGGAGAAGUUUCUGAGCCGUAAGUUCCUUUGUCUUGGAGAAAAAAGGCUGCCUGGGCUUCCCUGAGUAAGGCCUGGGCCUGGGAGGAGAGUCCUGAGGGAGAAAGGGAACCCUGUCUCCUGGGAAGGAGGGACUGCACAGGCUGGAGAGUAUUUUAAUGCACUUUUACCUUUGGGUGGACAAGUGGUGAAGUGCAAAAUGCAAAUGGUGCAACAAAGAAAUGCAAAUGGGAUGCCUGUUUGCCCAGUGGAGCCCAGGAUGUGGCUCUGAAGGUGAUGGAUGGAGCGGGCUCCUCAGCUCAGCCAGCUUUCAGAUUCAGACACCCACUGCUCCUGGACUUUGGGUGAUCAAAUUCUCACAAUAGCAUCUGAACAUUUUUUGUUAUUCUGGUACGGACUUAACAUCUUUUAAAUGCAGCU